GGUCUCCCGACCCCAAACACUUGCGGUGCCCCCCCAUUUAGCCCCCAAAACUUCUCCCGGGCGUCUCCCCGGGCUGAGGAAGCCGGCGACCCCUCCUCGCCGCCUUUGGGGCGCUCGCCAGGCGCCUCCGGGUUGCUGGGGCUGCCCCCUCCUCUCCUCACAGCGCCAGCUCGGGCUCACCUCAGGGACGAGGGGGAGCACGAGCCCCUCCUCACCCCAAAACGACGCCCCUCGGCACCCCACCAAGGGCAUGGCGCUCCCCGCUCCCCCUCCCCGGGGGCCGCCGUAUGGCCGCUGCUCCCUUCCCCCGCGGCUCCUCUCCAUCCCACUCCCUGCCCACCCGGCACCCCAGGGUGCUGCCCGGCUCCCUCACCGCUCUCUCCUCGGGGCCGUUUCUCCUCGUCGCUGCCUCCGUUAACGCCGCUGCCCCCCGCUCGGGGCUCCGCUCGCCGCCCUUCAGCCCAGGCCCUGCUCCCUGCGGAGCCCCUCCGCUGCGGCUCCGCUGCACCUGCGGCGGGGCCGGGAGGAGGAGAGGGCACCCCCGCUCCGUCCUCCCUCAACUUCUCAUCCCUUCCCUCCGCCUCGCCGCCCCGGCUCUGCCCUCGACCCUCCCGGAGCCAGCAGCGGCCCCUGGGCCAGACGAGCGGAGGCUCCCCCCUGGCCGGCACCGGCGAGCCGCUGUCCGGGUCCCCGGGCGCCCUGCCGCCCCAUGCACUGCCCCAGCGCCCCGGACGGUGGGCAGGGGCUCCCGGCGGGGCAGGUGCCCUGGGCACGCCUCUGGCGGGUGGGACCGGGGCUGAGCUCCACCAAUCGGCCCCGCUGCGGCGGGAGGAGGAGGAGGAGGAGGAGGAAGGAGCGGCCCAGGUUUCCAAACUGUGUGUGCAAGUAACACCAUUUACAGCCAUUGUUACCCUGUUUAAAGAAGAUCGUUCACAUUGUAGAUCUGCUGGAGCAACAGUGGAUGGCACCACAAACCGAGGGAGCCUGUUCGAUGUCUUGACCUCCCGUACUACAGCUAACGAAAUAAUUGGAAUUGUUCCUCUGAGUGGUGUGUGGCCCUCUUUUGUAUCCCCCUAUUACUACCAUACAUUGUAUUCCGUUACACUAUUGUAUCCAGUUGAACUUGAUGGAAUACAUUAUGCAAAUCUGUGCCUGCUUCUUGUGUAUCAGCAAGAGAGAUCUCUGAAACGUAAGCGCUACUGCAGAGUUACUGAUUAAAGUCAGAUGCAGUCGAACGCUAGCAUAGCCCAUCCUUUGUGAGGGGAAAGGGUGGUGUGGAUAAUACGGAGCCUUAAUGGCUAACUUAUCCUUAACAAUGCAGAACGAUUAAAAUUUGCUGAUUCUAAAGAGCUAUCAGCAGUUUUCGGUGACCAACAUAGGUAAUGCUCUCUGAGAGUAGGUAAUAAAUACAUAGCGAUGCUGAAGGGGGAGGAGAAA
rnacentral:lncRNA from 1 species